rnacentral:lncRNA from 1 species
CUGGGGUGGAGCUAGGUCUUCUGAGGUGAAGCCAGAGCUCCUGCGGGUAGAGCCAGAGCUCCUGAGGGAAGCACCACACUUUCUAGAGGCAGUGCCCUGUACCCUAGGGCGGAGCCAGUGGAGGGGCGCCAGGCCUGGGGGCGGAGCCAGGUCAUGGCCUGGCUGGAGAAGGCAGACACAAAUGUGCCCGCCUUCAUAGCCCUUUCGCUGCUCAGGCCUGCUUUUCACGGGGCUGCCUCUGUGUCUCCAUCACAGUCUUAACCAUCUGGCCAGCCAGCACUUAAGAGAUCACGGCCCAAGCAAGUGCCUGGAGGGACUGGAGAAACAGCCUGGGCUCCAUCCCUGGGCGUCUGGUGACGUCACCCCAAGUCUCUGCACCCAGUGAAGGAUGCAGGCACGGCCCUGAGGGGCUGCGCCCCACCUGGGGGAGUCUGAGCUCCCGCACGGGGAGAAUGCACGGAACAGCGUGGUCCCCGCUGCCUCUGGGUGGAAUAGAACAACCUCUGAUCGGGGAGCGUGUCUGUGCCUCCGUGUCUCUGGGGAGACCUCGGGAGCCGGGGCAGCUGCUUGCCGCGGGGGGACCUGUCUGGAAGCCACAGAGCUCUCCCUCUCAUCUGGAGAAUGUGCACGGCCUCGGCUCCGCUCGGAUCCCCCAUGGAAGAAGGAAGCAGGCACGACAUGGAGGGAGGAGGCUCAAGGCAGCGUGGGCUCCUCUGUUCCUGCCAGCAGAGGUGGGGCCAUGCCAGGUGACAGGUGCUGAAUCACGGUGGGCGCUUGUGUUUCUCUGAUUUUAGAUGAACUGCAGCCCUUGGACCAAAACCCGGCCUCUGCUUGUUAUUGCAAAUAAAGUUUUAUUGGAACACAGCCACAGUGCUCAUUUGCCUCUUCUGGCUGGUUCUACUACCGCAGAGCCGUGCAUCUGCAAAACCAAAAACAUUCACUACCUGGCCCCCUACGGGAAAAGUCUGGCCUGAGUUACAUGUCUGACAGAACAAAUUAAAAAAGAACCUAAAUUACUCAUGGCUUCUUCUUGGACUGACUCUGCAAAGGCUUCCCUAACACAGAUUCGUGGGGAGGGUCUGGUGGGCACAUGAGAGUCCAUUAUGGCUUCAUGCUACUUUUGCAUAUGUUUGAAAGUCUCCACAAUAAAAAGUAUGUAAUAACAAAGAUAAAAUAUAUCAGUUUAAAAACCAAGUCGCCUGGGAGUGGUUAGAGUUGUGCCCGGGGUUCAAUCCCUGGUCUGGGAACGGAGAUUCCACAUCGAGCUGCUGCACAGCACAGCUAAGUAAAAAAAUAACCGUCACCUCAUCAUUGUGUCUCUACAGGAGGUCAGUCUUUUGAUUAUUUUAUUUUUGAACAACUGGUUUGGGGAAGGCAUCUCGUUCUGAAAUGACCUCAGACGGAGGGUAGAUAAGGGUCCUUACAGGGGAAGCAAGAAGAAAAGACACAAAAACUAACAUGAGUUUAGCAAGAAAAUUGAAUAGAUUUGGCAAAUCUAUGGAAAACAUCUGCAUAUGAGCCUGGGAAGGUGGUAACAGUGGGGGUACCUGGGGAAUGGAAGGGGGAAAAUCUUUGCAAAGGCGGCCUUGGGCCUUCAUGUGAAAGCGCUUGGGUCAUGCUUGCACAGCCCGCCGCGCCGCCCGGCGCCUCUUCCAGGCUGGCCACCCUCCUGGCUUCUACUUCACCGAUGAGUCAGGGCGCCUCAGAGCCGCUGGCUUCGUGCCAGCGAGGGUCAUCCUUCUGCCCAGAUCGGGUUGGUUCACUUCCUCCCUGCAGAGUGGAACUGGGAUGUUGCAGACUCUUCCUAGGCUUAAUGUAGUUUCUCACUUUCCUACAGCAAACAUAUUUUCCAUAAUGAAACAUUUAAAACAAAACAAAACAAAGCAAAACCCAGAGGGGAAAAAGAAACGCAAGGGGAAUUCAAGGAAUUGCAAGGAGAAGUCAAACACCAGCCACAAAAACGGCACAGUCUUGGGGCUUCUGGUCCAGGGACAGCUUCAAAACGUGUAAUUUCUGGCCAAGGCCAGCCUGUCUGUCGGCCAAGUCGGGGGAACAUGGGCAGCUGCCACCGCAGGCGACGUCCUCCCCGGUCCCGUGAUCCGCCAGGAGCCGGGGCGGGGGGUGGCGGGGGGGCGCUCCUUUGCUCCCUGGGGGCGCUGCUCCCAGGCUUUUGGGGUCCAGCCGUUUUCUUUCCCCCAAAGCAGCAGUGGGGAAGAAGGAAACCGCCCUCAGAAGAACGAAUGGUUAGGCGGGAGGUGCCUUGGGCAGUGGGCACCGCCCAGCACGCUGUGGGCAGAGGCUCACUUCCUGGUGACCGUUGGCGAAAGGCCAGGGCUUGUGCAGACUCUUGGUGAUGGUUCUGCGGUUUGGAGACCAGGUGGGGUCCUCCAAGUAGGUCUGAACCCACAUCUGUCACCUAAGGCAAUGUUAGCUGUCGGGGCGGGGGGGUCACUUCUCUCCCUGGAUCCUUUGUCCCGACUGUAAAGCAAACAAAGAGACCAGAUGCUUCUGGGGUUUCUUGCCCUCCCAGGCUGUGAAGAAGCCAGGACAAAAGGAAACUCGGGGGCGGGGGGAGACGUCACUCUGCUGUGUGGCUCACAACGGAAAAAAAUGUUUGUUUACAUUUUCAAAUACAAGCCUCCCAGGCUCAGGGUGUGGGCUCAGAGGCAGGCAGUCUGGUUUUACACCCUGCCCCCCACCCCCAACUACCAGCUGUGUGGCUUCACAAAAAUUGGAGCUCCCGUCGUGGCACAUCGGAAAUGAAUCCGAUUAGGAACCAUGAGGUUGCAGGUUCGAGCCCUGGCCUCACUAAGUGGGUUAAGGAUCCAGCAGUGCCGUGAGUUUUGGUGUAGGUCGCAGACGCGGCUUGGUUCUGGUGUUGCUGUGGCUGUGGUGUAGACUGGUGUCUACAGCUCCGAUUCGGCCCUUAGUCUGGGAACUUGCACAUGCUGUGGGUGCGGCCCUAAAAAGACAAAAACAAACAAACAAAAAACAUUGCUUUGCUUUUCUGGGCCUCAGUUUCCUCAUCUGCAAAGUGGGGAUAAUGGUAGGCCCUCCUUACGUGGUUGUUGUGAGGUUGAGCAGGUAAUGUGUGUAAAGCUCUUAGGACAGCAAGGGGCCCAUGAGCAGUGCUCAGUAACUAUUAUCAGGUGUGGAACACACGCAUACACGUGUGGCCCACACAGUAGAGUGUUUGUUAUUCAGCAGCGAAAAGGAAUGAAGGCAAACCUACCAGAUGGGAGAAAAUAUUUGCAAAUCAUAUAUUUGAUAAGGUGUUAAUAUCCAAAAUGUAUAAAGAACACAUAUGACUCAAUAUCAAAAAGCAAACAAUCCAAUUUAAAAAUAGGGUAUCUCAAUAGACAGUUUCCCAAAGAGGACAUGCAGGGGGCCAACAGGUACACGGACAGAUGCUCAGCAUCUUAACACGGCAUCGUAAAUCAACUGUCCUUCAAUGACACUUAAAAAAUAAAAUAAAAGAUGCUCGCCAUCACCAACUAUCAAGGGAAUGCAGAUCAAAACCACAGGGGGACGGCUGUGGUGUAGACCAGCAGCUGCAGCUCUGACUGGACCCCUAGUCUGGGAACUUCCUUACGCCACAGGUGCAGCCCUAAAAAAAAAA